rnacentral:rRNA from 1 species
UACGUAUGGUGCAAGCGUUAUCCGGAUUUACUGGGUGUAAAGGGAGCGCAGGCGGCACGGCAAGCCUGAUGUGAAAGCCCGCGGCCCAACCGCGGGACUGCAUUGGGAACUACCGGGCUGGAGUGCCGGAGAGGUAGGCGGAAUCCCUAGUGUAGCGGUGAAAUGCGUAGAUAUUAGGAGGAACACCAGUGGCGAAGGCGGCCUGCUGGACUGCAACUGACGUUGAGGCUCGAAGGCGUGGGGAGCAAACAGG